GAUGAACGCUAGCUACAGGCUUAACACAUGCAAGUCGCGGGGCAGCAUGGGGGUUGCUUGCGAUCCCCGAUGGCGACCGGCGCACGGGUGAGUAACGCGUAUCCAACCUGCCCUUCACCACGGGAUAACCCGGCGAAAGUCGGACUAAUACCGUAUGUUGUCCAUUGACGGCAUCCGAUUUGGACGAACGGUUUGGCGGUGAAGGAUGGGGAUGCGUCCGAUUAGCUGGACGGCGGGGUGACGGCCCACCGUGGCGACGAUCGGUAGGGGUUCUGAGAGGAAGGUCCCCCACACUAGAACUGAGACACGGCCCAGACUCCUACGGGAGGCAGCAGUGAGGAAUAUUGGUCAAUGGGCGUAAGCCUGAACCAGCCAAGUAGCGUGCAGGAUGACGGCCCUAUGGGUUGUAAACUGCUUUUAUGCGGGGAUAAAGUGGCCCACGUGUGGGUUUUUGCAGGUACCGCAUGAAUAAGGACCGGCUAAUUCCGUG
rnacentral:rRNA from 1 species